GGUCGUGGCUCAGUGGCAGAGCGCUUGCCUAGCAUGCGUGAGGCACCGGGUUCGAUUUUCAGCACCA
rnacentral:tRNA from 1 species